AGAAGUGAGGAUGAUCUGGCUGUGAUAUCUGUCACCCUAUUGAUCAGCCAGGGUUGAUUCUGCUGAUCUGGUUAGCUAGGCAUUGUCCCCUUCCUCCCUCACUGCUUUGUGUGCGUCCCUCCCAAAGCUGCAAGCUCAGUUGAAGAGGAUGACCUUCCCCCAUAGAGGAGGACCCUUCUUCAGUCAAGGUAUACGAGUAGCUGCAUUCCCUUGCUAGAACUUCCAAAUGAGCUUUCAAAGGGAGGGAUUCUUUUUGGAUGGGCCAAGCAGAGAAGAGCAGUAUUUUGAACAAAUGAUACAACCUAUUAUAGUUGCUUAAUA
rnacentral:snRNA from 1 species